rnacentral:sRNA from 1 species
CCCUAGCCCCGAUAGUAGUGGAAAUCCUUUUGUGCCGGGGUUCGGCACAAAAGAUUGGAACGGAUAGCGGGAAAAAGC